rnacentral:rRNA from 1 species
CCUACGGGAGGCAGCAGUGGGGAAUAUUGCACAAUGGGGGAAACCCUGAUGCAGCGACGCCGCGUGAGUGAAGAAGUAAUUCGGGAUGUAAAGCUCUAUCAGCAGGGAAGAAAAUGACGGUACCUGAGAAAGAAGCCCCGGCGAACUACGUGCCAGCAGCCGCGGUCAUACGAAGGGGGCAAGCUUUAUCCGGAUUUACUGUGUGUAACGGGAGCGUAGACGGCAGGGCCAGUCUGGAGUGAAAGGCGGGGGCUCAACCCACGGACUGCUCUGGCUACUGUACGGCUGGAGUGCAGGAGAGGUACGUGGAAUUCCUUGUGUAUCCGUGAAAUGCGUAGAUAUUAGGAGGAACACCAGUGGCGAAGGCGGCUUACUGGACUGUACCUGCCGUUGAGGCUCGAACGCGUGGGGAGCAAACAGGAUUAGAUACCCUGGUAGUC